GUUGGUUACCGUGCAUCGUAAUCUUCGUCGCGAAUUUAUUUUUCAUUAACGAAGUGAAUUUAUACAGUGCGUGGUAUGUCGAACGUUGACAGUUCAUGUUUUAUGGUGUCCAUAAAACGUGAGAAGACACAGAUUGUUUGUUACUCUUCUCGGAUGUAAGAAAACAUCUUACGUUACACUACGAAGGGUGCGAUCUUCUUCAUCAUCAUCAUCAUCAUCAUCAUUUGGAACGGAACAUCUGGUUGUCCUUUGUGGAUUCUCUUCGUUGGAUAUUCAUGACUUUGUUUUUUACAGACCGUAGAGGAGGAAAGACACGCACAAACGAGAGAAGGAGCCAAGGGAGCCAGCCAGCCGAGCUAGCGAGUGAAUCAAAUCGCGGUGUGUGCUUGGCAAACGACGCCGAGCGUCGCGACGCUCUUCUUUCCUCGACGAGAAAGGAACGCAAAAACUUUGACGGCGGAGCACAGUCGUCAUUAUAAACGGUAAGCGAAAGGUUGUCAGCGACACCAGUAAUCUCCUGGUAAUCAUGACAAAUUACGGUCGAAGUUAUGGACCACGUUCUAUGGCUUGCCAUGUUACGGUCCUAUAGUCCUGAGAAUGAACGAGGGCCAGGGUGCCAGGUGGGGCGUGCCCGCCCCAUGCUGCGAGCCAAACAAUUAUGUAACACCAUGGAACACACCGCGAGCACAGCAGGAAACCGAACCGGAGGUUCAUAUACUUAUUUACAAUCCCAUAAGCGAAGGAUCGAAUGUAAAUACAGGCCAAAUCUUUGGUAACAAGAUCGAGAUUAGAUCGAUCGAUCGAUUCCAGUCAUUGUCGUGACUGGGCAUAGUUUGGUAAGAAAAUCUUAUCAAUGUGUUUGAUUUCCCGAAGUAUUCAUCACCCUGCGUAUGGAUUUAUCAUUACAGAAAGCAGUUAUAUAGCGUGUUAGACGUUCGGAAGGCGCUGUGUCACUGCGCUGAUGUUUAGCCAAGAUAUUUGGCCUCGCAAAUAUUUGGAGAUUGUCUACAGCUUCUAACCACUGCGCUCCACUCUAUCAGCUCUUGUUACAUUUAAUUAAUGCUAUGUACAUUUGUAGUAUCCAUUCGAUGCUCCUCGAUAUCGAGUCUUUAUUCGUUUGUUUCUGGAUUGUCCUGUUUUUCUUUACUUUUAUUUUCUCUUCCUUUUCUUUUUUUUUCUCGUUCUAUCUUUCCUUACUUUCCUUCUUCUUUCUUUUCUCUUUCUCAUUUCUCUCGUGAUAAUAACGAUUCGAUCAAAAAAGGUGUAUGAUUUAUUUAUAUCGAAGGACCACAAAGUGUAAGCUCAUAAACCACGAUCCACCCACACUAAUUUCCGCAAGAAUAAAAGACACCAUAAAAAAGGAAACCGCAUGUACCUUCGAGAAACGUGACCCGAACCGACCCCAAUCGACCUAACCGAUUAUUAGGUUCGUCGUUUAUUUUCUUCUUCCUGCGUCCUUUGCGGUGACGUGCCCUAAUAAGAGCGAAUCGAUGCAAGAUUAAUAUAGUAAUCGACUGAAUGU